CUUCUUGCCAACUCUGGUUUCCUCCUCACCCUGUCUGGGGUCUGGGGAGAUUUUCACCCCAGAGGCAUGGGAGAUGGCCAGAGAUGACUUCCUUUUCUUCUGCCCACUGAGGAACUCCAAAUGGCCAAGCACCUGGUUCCUUGGGCUGGAUGACUUCUCUGUCCGUCUGGCACGCAGCGUGGUCUCAGGUUCUACGUGCCCCUCGCAAAGGGUGCUGACACCCUUCUCUUUCUUCUUUUUCUUCACUAGAGGCAUCUCAGGUGCCUGCCCGUGGACCACACUCUUAGAGGGGGCUGUGGCUUUUAUAGGAGAAACAUGGGCAAAGUAAUCAUCAUUGUUUAAAAUUGAGUAUUGAGUCCCUGGUUCUUUGACCACUUUCUUCUUCUUUUUCUUCUCUGGGAUCCCAGGGCCCAGGUCUACUUUCCGGUGGGCCAAACUUCCCCGCCUCCACGUGAGAGCCGGCUCCGCCGUGACCCGGAAGUCCACUUUCGGGUUGCACGCGUGGCUUCUCUUACACACAAAUUUUCUUCCACUUCUGCCACUCCUGAGACAGCAAGACUGAUACCUUAUUUUCCUCCUCCUCCUUGGCCUACUCAACAUGAAGAUGAUGAGGAUGACGACCUUUACGAUGAUCCACUUCCAUCUAAUGAUUGAGGCAGUGUCUCACUCUGUUGUCCAGGCUGGAGUGCAGCGAUAUGGUCAUAGCUCACUGCAGCCUCGAACUCCUGGGCUCAAGGGAUCCUGCCACCUCAGCUAAGGCCUGCAGUAGCUAAGACUGUAAGCAUGUGACUCUACAUCCUCCUAAUUAAAACUUUUUUUGUUGUUGUUUUGUAGAGACAGGGUCUCCCUAUAUUGCCCAGGCUGGUGUUGAUCUCUUGGGCUCAAGCAAUUCUCCCACCUUGUCUUCCCAAGCCACUGGGAUUACAGGUAUGAGCCAUUACACCCGGCCUGAAGCUUGUCUUGAUGGCAGAAUGAACAGUUUGGGGCCAGCCAGGUCCUCAUGAGCUUCUCUGAUUUUAUAGCAUAGAGAUGGGGAUGAUGAACCAGCAGCGUGUCAUAUUGCCGGCUUUAGCUUUUUGCCUCAAGCAGACCAUGUGAUUACUUGCAAGGCUGUGGUACUGGGACAAAGAGAGCAUUAAUUGUUCCUACCUCACACCUAGCACCUUUCCUGGUCUGAGGUGUUCUCUCUCUAUGUCUGGGCCAUUCCCUCUCCAAGUGUGGGAGCUGUUCUUCUUUCACAGCCACAAAACUGAUGUGUCCACUCCAACAGUUAGAGCUUUCCUUUUCCCUAAUCACCUCUGACCCAGACUUAGGUUUUUUGUCUGGAAGGAAGAGGUACACAUGAGACAAUGAAUUUUCACA
rnacentral:lncRNA from 1 species